rnacentral:lncRNA from 1 species
CUUUCUUCUAGCCUGCGUGGAAGGCUUCCUAUGAAAGCUUCCCCUUUCUUCACACAGCCAGCAGCCUAGAGGCAGCAGGAAAUCAAGACUGCUUCAAACAGGUGAAGAAGAUGGCCGUGAAAGCCACAAGGUCAUCCCCCUGAAGGAGAAUGGCCUGCUCCAGAUGGGAAGUUUAUCUGCCUGGAUCCUGAAACGAAGACGACAUAUGGAUCAGGAACUGAGUCACUGACAGACUACAGCUGACUUACAACUUAAGUGCUUUCAACUGUUUUAAAACUCUACAAGGUGUGGGGCUGCAGAUCGGACCGGAUACUGGGGCUCGGCGUGGAUGGGUCUUUCAUCCAUUCGUCGGAUUCCCACAGGCUUGAUGGCAUCAGGCUCCACAGUGUCAGGCUGCUGCAGCUGGCUCAAGUCAUAGUCCUGCAAAAAGACAAAAUCAAAAACCGAUGGGAGAUGGGCACAAAGAUAGAAAAUUACAACCUCGCUUUUUAAGCACAUACUCAGAACACAUAGAAAUGAGGAAAAUUUAACAUAAUGGAAAAGUUGCCACUAUGAGUUUUUCAUGUUAUGAUUAAAUAUUUCUUUCACACAGCUCUUUCUUCUGUGCUUUUCAUUUCUACAGUCUGUGCUCCAUCUGCUUUACAAUGUUCCUCAUCAGUUUCCAAUGAAAAACAGCAGUGUGAUGAGGUCUCACUAUAAAACAACUAAAAAACCGACUAGACAAUAUAGUUGUACCAUACAAGCAAAGGUGCUAACUUCAUGUCUUUAAUAUUUUUUUAAAACGAGGGUGGUUAUUCUUCCUUUUCCCUAAAGGAAGGCAUUAGUUCAUGAAGGUUUCAAGCCACCCUUCUUCCUUCUCUCUCUCCCUUCUAAACUCUAGAGCAGAGGUCAGAAAACUAUGAUCUCUGGGCCCAGUGUGACCUAUGGCCUAUUUUUCUCUAAGAUUAGCUUUUACAUUUUUAAAAAGUUACUUAAAAUACAAACGACAAAGAAAAAUGUGCUACAGGGAAUAUAUGUGGCCCACAAAACCUAAAUUAUUUACUAUCUGGCCCUACUGAGGAAAAGUUUGCUGACCUCUGGUUUAGUGGUGGUAGACCAGAGAGAGGGUGGAUUUUCUUCCAAUGCUGCCCUGUGGGAAUGUCCUGGAAAAACAAUCUGUCCGCUUUCAGAGAGGCAAAGUACAACUUGUGAAGAAGGAUGCUCUGGCCAUAGGUUGGGCCCUCAGAACUAUUUUUAGCUCAGACAUCUGGACAGGAAUGUAUAAAGAAAGAGACUACAAUGUGGAAAUAAUCCACAUUUAAGGUUUGGGCAAAUAGUUGGUAGUAUUCAAACCUCUGAAUUCUGGUGAUACAAAAUAUCAUAUCCCCAAGCUUACCCAACAUUCUUUCAAUUCAAAACUGACAUUUGCAGCAAGCAUAGAUGUAGUUAUGCUUUUCUUAGUUCAGGCUUCAUCUCUCUGUCUGAAACUAGCUUUUAAAACCUUUUGCAGUUAUCUCUAGAGUGAUUUUGAUUUAUUCGACAGUUGUUUAACGUUUACCAUGUUUUGGCAAUGGUCUAGGUGUCUUACAUAUGUUCACUCAUUUGAUCCUCUUAGUACAUGUGAUACUAAGUUUUAUUAUCCCCACUUAAGAGAUGAGAAAACUGAGUUUCAAAUAACCCAAGUAAGUCGCAUAUGGUCCCAGAUCUAUUAAGAAAAGGAUUCUGACUCCAAGUGUAUUAGAUUCCAAAGCCUGGCUCUCUUCACAAUCAUCUAUGAGUAAAUCAAGACUGAGUUACAAGGUUGGAUUUAAAGGUAAGGAACUAGAUAAACGAGCUUGAGCUUGGAGGGACAGGAAUGUGAGGAAUGCUUAAAAUAACAAGGAGACAAAGGGAAGGAAAAGGUCAGUAACUUCAUACUCACUGUGGGUCAGGCACUAUACCAGACUCUUGAUAAGUGUUUUCUCACUAUCAAUGGUGCCUAAGAAACCCAUGAAAAAUGUUUUAUCAUCAUCUCUUUAGGUGGAGAAACAGGUUGAGUAACUUGCCCAAGGUCACACAGCUAGUAUAUGACUAAAAUGAGAAUCAAAACCAUGAGUGUCUGACUUCAUAGCACCUGAUUUAAAAUUUAUGCUAAUUGAGAUACUCUGAUCCUGGCAACACUCUCCCUGAAUAUUUCCUUAUCAAGAACUUCAGCUGGCAGGUGAAGGCACUCACAUACAUACGCUGAUGGAAAAGCUCCUCCUCUUAGGUGUGUGCAAUGUGAUGCGGAAAGCGAGGUAGGUAUAGAGACUUCGAACCCGCCAGAGUGGGAUGUACAUUUGGUGUAUCACAAACUAUAAAAUGUUCAGGGGGAAAUCAGCUUUAGCUCUGAACCAUCUAUGGGCUGGCGACAAAGCGCCAUUUUGGGAGAGUCCACAGCAGGAGCAAAGGCAUCAGAAUGCUGCUUUCUCUUGUCAAGAUGGAGUAUUUCAAAUCAUCCAUACAAAACUUGAGAAAAAACACCUUGAUCUUGCACAAAUGUGCUCCAUUUUCAAUUUUAUAGAAUUUGAGUUAUUUACGGAAUAUCUCAGAAAAGGCCCUCAAUGAUGCAACAGAUGUGAAAGUCCUUGAACUGUUAAAAUGCUAUACACGACAAAAAGAGGGAUUUAGUCCCCUGCACUUUGGGAGGCCAAGGCGGGUAGAUCAUAAGGUCAGGAGUUCAAGACCAGCCUGGCCAAUAUGGUGAAACCCCAUCUCUACUAAAAAAUACAAAAAUCAGCCGGAUGUGGUGGUGGGCGCCUGUAGUCCCAGAUAUUUAUUUGGGAGGCUGAGGCAGGAGAAUCGCUUGAACUCGGGAGGUGAAAGUUGCAGUGAGACAAGAUCGCAUCACUGUACUCCAGCCCGGGCGACAGAAAGACUCUGUCUAAAAGGAAAAAAAAAAAAAAAAAAAAAAAAAAGAUUUAUUCAGAGAAAUUUUAAUGCUUUCACACUAAAAAAUAAAAUAUGUUUUUUCCAGGCCAUGUUUAAUUGUAUAACUACCAAGCACAACAGAGUGGGGUGAACUAUGAAUAAGUAUGCAUUCUUAUUCAAUUACCAAAGCUGUCCUUAAAAUGGGGGAAAAUAGAUGGCAAGUAUAUUGAUGACAGUGAAUAAAUGUUUUUACCCUAAGGGUGAAAAAUGUUUUAUUAGAAGUCUAAAUUACACACAAAAAGGUAAUUGAAUCUUAUGUUUAAGCACUGUCUUUUACCUGGUGACAUAUUCUUUGAUACUCCUGGAUAUAUUACAUAAUAGCUCAGGGUGACAAAUAUAAGAAUAUAGAGGAAUUUCGUUCAUAUAACUGGAGAUAAAAGAGGCAUGUGGGCUUUGCUCAUGCUACUCCCUAUCUGGGAAGAGCCAUUCUACUCUGACUUCUUCUAUAACUCCAACUGUAUCCAGAGGCUGCAAAUAAAAUUGCAUUUUGAUUGGCUAGCAGACUUUUAAAUAUAUUCAAAUAGGUCACCAACAUUUAGACAUAGGUGUAUCUCACCUGAGAAUAACAAGAUCUGGCAAAAGAGAUCUUACAUUCUGACAACAAUUUGCUACAGCUGAGAGCAGUUGUCCCCUCUGGACAAGGAAAGGAUAGCCUCCUAACC